GAUGAACGCUAGCUACAGGCUUAACACAUGCAAGUCGCGGGGCAGCAUGGGGGUUGCUUGCCAUCCCCGAUGGCGACCGGCGCACGGGUGAGUAACGCGUAUCCAACCUGCCCUUCACCACGGGAUAACCCGGCGAAAGUCGGACUAAUACCGUAUGUUGUCCAUUGACGGCAUCCGAUUUGGACGAAAGGCUUGGCGGUGAGGGGUGGGGAUGCGUCCGAUUCGCCAGACGGCGGGGUAACGGCCCACCGUGGCUACGAUCGGUAGGGGUUCUGAGAGGAAGGUCCCCCACACUGGAACUGAGACACGGUCCAGACUCCUACGGGAGGCAGCAGUGAGGAAUAUUGGUCAAUGGGCGUAAGCCUGAACCAGCCAAGUAGCGUGCAGGAUGACGGCCCUAUGGGUUGUAAACUGCUUUUAUGCGGGGAUAAAGUGGCCCACGUGUGGGCUUUUGCAGGUACCGCAUGAAUAAGGACCGGCUAAUUCCGUG
rnacentral:rRNA from 1 species